UAUGAAACGUUGAUGGGAAGUAGUAACAAGUUCCGUUUUUUGAAGAGAGCCAGCGGUUGGUGCGAGCUGGUAAAAACACUUGUGAAUCCGUCCUGGAGUUGCGCGACUGAAAAUUAGUAAGUUGCAGCCGGUUGAAAAGCCGUUAUGAGACAAGUGGAUUUGUUCGCAUGGACAAAUCAAUCAGGGUGGCAACGCGGGUAGCUCUCGUCCCUUUC
rnacentral:ncRNA from 1 species